rnacentral:lncRNA from 1 species
CCAUUGCUAGUGCUCUAAAACCUCCUAAAUAUUGUUUCAAACAAAUGCUAGAUGAAAAAGAAGGUUUUUUUUAUGUUAAAAUCAUGUUAAGGAACCACUUUUACUUUCCUAGAUUUAACGAACAACUCUUGACACUGUUGGUGUUUUCUUAGUUUGGGAAACAACAAGGGAAUCCGUUUCAUGGGUUUUUUAAGAGUUUUUCUUACAUUUAGGAAAAUGACUGGAUUUUAGGGAAGGGUAGUCAUUGCUAUUGCGGUUAAACUCUAAAAACUGUUCCCAUUCAAAAGCAACAACCUCUUCAAAAAAAUCAAAGAGAAAACAUCAAAGUCCACCGUUCCCAAUUACAAAAAAUAAUAUAUCACUUACAGUUCAUCAGGUAUCCCAGUUCCAAAGAAAAAGUUGGAAUAAAACAGAAAUCCAAAACAAAAGAAUCAAGAACCCAUCAAAAGCACAAAACCCAUAGGCAAAAACACAGCACCGACCACUCAAAUCUGAGAAAAUCAAAUUUUAUAUAUAUAGAGAGAGAGAGAGAGAGAAUAAUUUGGUGAGUGAACAGUACUUACUAAGUACUCUUCACUCACCAAAGUGUUUUGGUUAGAAUAGUGAGUAUGCUGGGAGGCUUUUUUGUGCCUUUUUGUUAAAUUUUUUUUUAUAUAAGUAAAAGACUAAUCUCAUUAAAAGCGUAAGGCGUCCCUAAGUAUACAAUAAGUAUACAGAAUAAACAUCUAACUAGAAAGAGCAAAACAAACUAAGAAAUCACUAUAGUUAAGCAACAAAGGAGAAUCAAACGUGGCUGUCCAAAAAUAUAAAGUAUCGUAAAAUAAAAAUAAAAUUUCUUCCAACAACCUCUCAUUGUCUUCAAAGUUCCUAUCAUUCAUUUUUCCUCACAAAACACCAAAACAGGCAAGUAUGCACCAUUUUUCACACUACAGCACUAAAAACUGUUCCCAUUCCUCUAUUGCUAGUACCACAAAAACAGAAGCGCAAUAUCUAAUUCAAAAGCAACAACCUCUUCAAAAAAAUCAAAGAGAAAACAUCAAAGUCCACCGUUCCCAGUUACAAAAAAAUAAUAUAUCACUUACAGUUCAUCAGGUAUCCCAGUUCCAAAAAAAAGUUGGAAAAAAACAGAAACCCAAAACAAAAGAAUCAAGAACCCAUCAAAGCACAAAACCCAUAGGCAAAAACACAGCGCCGACCACUCAAAUCUCAGAAAAUCAAAUUAUAUAUAUAUAUAUAUAUAGAGGGAGAUAGAUAGAUAGAGAGAGAGAGAGAGAGAGAGAGAGCAUCGAAGACGUACCCUCCACCGACGGAGACGCUCGACAGAGGCAUUCUUAGUGCGGGUAAUAUCGAAAGGGCCAGACGACUCCUCGUCGUCUUCGGAGGGUGGAGCUCUGUUGGAAUGGCUUCCACCGGCCUCCAAAUCCGUGUUGCGCUGGCCUUGAGGCGAUCUCUUGAAGUUGCUCAUUACUGUCGCAGGAGAGAUGGCACCGUCACACUCUAAUUACGUCUCUUCUCAAUACGCAUCAAAUCCACAAACAAAAUCCCUCUCACAAUCUCAAAAUUCUCAAUUCAGAUUUUCGCUCCCAAAACCAGUUUUCCUUAUCAGAGUACUGUUUUUCUGUCACUCUCAAACACUCAUCUUUUUUAGUUUUUUCCCCCGUCAGAUUCACUCUAGCCCUAGAAAACUCUCAGUAACCUAGAAACGAGGCCCAAUUAGACACUGUUCGGCUCUCGUAAUAGGCCCAAACAAGCCUCGGGUUGGGUUCAUAUCCGGGUACCGUUUUGGAAGGAUUAAAUUUAAACAAUAAAUAAAAAGAGAGAGAGAGAGAGAGAGAGAGAAUUUCAGGGUUGUAUAGUUUACCGGAGCUGAAAAACGGUGUAACCAAACACAAAACUCUUCACCUGCACAAUUUACCUUCCCUUCCUCUUCCUCGUCCCACUUAUUUUUUUGUCUUUUCUCCCCGAGAAACUUCUGGAAAGUUCCUAAUGUGAAUUCAAAAAAUUCGAGAGCAAGACGUACGGUAGAGUAAUCAGAUGGUGGAGUAUUUGAUUAUAUCUUGAGCGGUAACAACCUGCAUCGCCAGAUCUCAUAAGAUGGUUCUUCCUCUUUACUAUUUAGCAAUCCAGCACUUUCUCAACUUUCAU